rnacentral:rRNA from 1 species
UACGUAGGGUGCAAGCGUUAAUCGGAAUUACUGGGCGUAAAGCGUGCGCAGGCGGUUCUAUAAGACAGAUGUGGAAUCCCCGGGCUCAACCUGGGAACUGCAUUUGUGACUGUAGAGCUGGAGUACGGUAGAGGGGGAUGGAAUUCCGCGUGUAGCAGUGAAAUGCGUAGAUAUGCGGAGGAACACCGAUGGCGAAGGCAAUCCCCUGGACCUGUACUGACGCUCAUGCACGAAAGCGUGGGGAGCAAACAGG